rnacentral:lncRNA from 1 species
AAAAGUUGUAGUAAAAUGGAUCCCAAAAAUGAUUUACAGGAUAACAAUGCCUUAGCUGACUGAUGAAUACUUAAGAACAUGGCAUUCCAUAGUUGCAGAAGCUAUAACAAAGAUAAACUCUCUACAACCAUAAUAAUAAUUUUGUCAUUGAAAGUUAUAAAACUAAGUACCAAUUUCUACAAUUGAAGAACCUAAUUAAAUACCUUCUCAAACAGAAUCAACUACUUUUUAGAACACAAACCAAAAUGUAAUGUUAUCUACCAGAGAAAAUAGACAUAGUGGAUCCUAAAGAGUAAGUAGAGGUACAAUCAACAU